rnacentral:rRNA from 1 species
CCUACGGGAGGCAGCAGUAGGGAAUCUUUCACAAUGGGCGAAAGCCUGAUGCAGCAACGCCGCGUGAAGGAUGAAGGCCUUCGGGUUGUAAACUGCUUUUAUAAGCGAGAAAUAUGAUGGUAACUUAUGAAUAAGGAUCGUCUAUCUACGUGCCACCAGCCGCGGUCAUACGUAGGAUCCGCGCAUUAUCCGGAGUGACUGGGUGUAAAGAGUUUCGUAGGUGGCAUAAUAAGUAGCUAGUGAAAUCUGGUGGCUCAACCAUUCAGACUAUUAUCUAAACUGUUAGGCUCGAGACCGUUAGAGGUAACUGGAAUUUCUAGUGUAGGAGUGAAAUGCGUAGAUAUUAGAAGGAACACCAAUAGCGUAGGCAGGUUACUGGGACGGUUCUGACGCUAAGGCACGAAAGCGUAGGGAGCAAACGGGAUUAGAUACCCGAGUAGUC